ensembl:lncRNA
CCAUGCUCCCCGCCCAUGACUCUUCUUUCCUUGUUCUCUUCCUCCUCAGCAAGCGCAUCUGCUGCAAGGGUGCGGUCCUCAAACCCUGACGUUGGAACUACCCUUCCGGCCCCCAUAGUGAACGCUACUCUGUGCUGGCACGACACGUGCGUAAUCUCAUUCAGCAUCUCUGAUCCCAGAGGAGCAGGAACCCUGAAGUAGCCUGUGGCACUCUUGACCUUCAACAAACCCUAUGCAUACAUCAAAGUCCUAUACAGAAAGUGUCCAGGAAAUAACUGCUGAUCGAUUGUUACUUUAUUGCAGAAUUCCUUUAAGAUGGACCAAUACCAGCAGAUGGUGUUUUGUGUAUAGGAAAACAAACUGGACACUUUUCCAUUUCCUUUCGGGCCCUGGAUUACAGGAUGCUGUAUGCCCAUACUUAUCCCAUAAGGCAUGUCUCUGCCUACUGACCCGCACAGCAGCAACCCUUCCCAGCGUAUUUCUCCCUUGGCUACUGAAGACCUAAAAGCCCCAGGGAGAAACUCGUCGCCAGGCUGCCUCAGUGUGAAAAGAACUGUGCUUAUUCUAAGAGGAAAAAAGAAGAGCAUGAAGUCACCCUAUUUUGCAAUCAGGAUUCUUCAACAGCCAAAUGUGCUUAAAUCCAAAAUGCCCCCUCCCUGAGUGAGAUCACGGAUGGAGUGAGCGCUCGCGGCUGAGUCGGUGAGCUUUCGGAAAAAGCAGAGUUUUACAAUAACAGCCUCAACACACGCAGCUCCCUCUGAAAUUCUCAACCAUCCAAACAGGUUCCUGCUCCCCAAGAGAAGGACACAGUCUCUUUGUUUGCUUUAAUCCAAGGACAAAGAUGAUGACCACUGGCGACGGCUUAAGUGGAUAUUCAGCCCAUUCAAAAACAUCAGGGAUGUUUUAUUCAUUGACUUAUUCACUCAUCAACAAACACUUCUGGAGCACUGUGUCCAAGCUUGAGAAAGAACGAUCAGCAAAAACAGACUCAGUUCUACUCUGAUGGAGCUUCUGGCUGACCCUAGCUUAUAGUUUGUGGAGCUUACAGGCUGACAUCAAUCAAUCACAAAGAAACACACAAUUUCAAGUUGCCUGGAGCAUAAAUGUGGAGAUUUGAUCCAAUUGAGAAGAUCAGAGAAGACUUCUCUGAAGAAGUGAUAAUUCAACUGAAAUUUAAAGGAUUGAGUAGAAAGUAUCCAGCGAAGAGAAAGGAGAACAAAUUGUUCCAGGGGAAGGAACACAAUGUACAAAGGCUGGUAGUGAAAAAGAGCAACCCUCAGCAUGCCUGAAAUACACAAGGGGGAUGCAGUGGGAAAUGAGCCUGGAAAAGUUGGCAGGGACAGACACUGAAGACAAGUCACACGAAGAAGCUUUGUCUUCAUCCUAAGAGUAACAGGAAGGCAUCAAGGUUCUAAGCAGGAAGUGGUACACUCAGAUUUGUGUUUUGAAGCCAUGGUAGACGCAACAUGGAAAAGAAUGGGAGGGUCAAGAUGGAAGCAGGCAGACCUUUGAGGAGGCCAUGGUAGCAGUCCAUGUGACCGUUCAUGGACCAGGAUGGUGGUAGAGGAGAUGAAGAGGAGAAAAUGAAUUUGGAGUUGUUUAGGACGUCAAAGCAGCAGACCUUGCUGAUUAAUUAGAUGCAGAAUUGAGUGUGAGAAGGUAUCAAGGUCAACUCCUGGGUUUCUGGCUUGUGUGAUUGGAUGUUUGAUGGAACCAUUGAUUGAGAUAGGGCUCACUGGAAGAGGAGCAAGUUUUAAGGAGAAAUUAUUUGACACUCUUGCAAAGCAGAAGUUGGUGAGUUUGAUUUUGAACUUGUUUGCCUUGAAGAGCCUUUGUGGCAUCAAGGGGGAAAUGCCAAGCAGGCGGGAGAAAUCCUGGGACAGGAGAGAGCGUGGUGAGUUCCAGGAACCCAAGGAAGGGAGUGUGACUGGAACGAAGAGAGAACAGGACACAGCCAGUCCAUCAGGGUCCUGUGGGUUUGGGUGAGGAGCUUGGUCUUUAUCCCACUGAAGAGUUAAUUCCUGAAAUUCUGAUGAGUGGCCUUUGAAGCCAAGCCCUUUGAUUCUGAUAGAGUUAAACAUCCCAGCCAAAUGCCCUUUUCAGAGGCAGUGAGGCAGUGAAGAGCAAGUCACAUCUCAGUGUUUCAUCCAGUGCCUUGGGUUGAACAUGUGUUUAAUCAAUAUUUGUUGAGUAAAUAAAUUAAAUGUCUAAUA